AAUCAACGCUGGCGGCGCGCUUAACACAUGCAAGUCGAACGAGAAAGUGGAGCAAUCCAUGAGUAAAGUGGCGUACGGGUGAGUAACACGUGGGUAAUCUACCUUUUAGUGGGGAAUAACCGAGGGAAACCUUGGCUAAUACCGCAUAAUCCUGAGAAGGGAAAGCAGCAAUGCGCUGAAAGAGGAGCCCGCGGCUGAUUAACUAGUUGGUGGGGUAAGAGCCUACCAAGGCANAGAUCGGUAGCCGGCCUGAGAGGGCACACGGCCACACUGGCACUGAAACACGGGCCAGACUCCUACGGGAGGCAGCAGUGGGGAAUCUUGCACAAUGGGGGGCAACCCUGAUGCAGCGACGCCGCGUGAGCGAUGAA
rnacentral:rRNA from 1 species